GGGUUUCUCUAUUUUCCUCCUUUCUACCCACUUGAUCUCUCUCACUUUGUCUUUCUAUCUGUUUUUUUUCAACAUUUUAAUUGGUGUGUAUUACUGCAGAUAUGGAAUGCAGUUAGUAAACCUAAGUCCCAUAAAGAUACUCCCCUCAGUGAAUUCUUUAAUGUGGAGGUCACUGCUUUAUCAAGCUUUAAAGAAAAAGAGGAUUUGUUCAAAGAGCAGGUUGCUCAACUAAGGUAGCACUUUUUCAAAUCUAUUUUUCUGGGAGGAUUUGCUGGUGAUAGACAGGGUGUUGUCCCUGCCGCCGGAUUCUCUUUUAGUGCACAACAGACAUGGAGAGUUAUAAAAGAGAACAAGGAUCUUGAUCUUCUUGCUCACAAGUAAUGGUUGCCAUAGUGCGUUGUGAAGAGAUUGCAAAUGAGAAACUCCAUCACUUAUCCUCUAAUGAGAUAUGACAUAGAGACAUUCUACUUCGAUCAUGGUGUAAGAAAUGCAAAGCGGAAACAACUGGAAUCAAAAGCUUUAGAUUUUGUGCAUCCUGCUUAUCUUAACCUGCUUGGACAUUUUCACUUCAAAACACUUGUGAAGAUUUCAAGUCAAUAUUGGAACAGAUGCUGAGUAAAGGAGAAGGAUUUGCAGCUUCUAUUUGUACAAGUACUGAGUCUUGUAUGCUUGAAUUUGACCAAGGAUGUGCAGAUGCUGCCAUCAAACAGGCUAAUUGGGAUGCUUCUAAAGUAAAGGAAAAACUUCACCGUGAUAUUAAUGCACAUGCAUUAUCUGUUCAAGAUGCAAAAUUGUCUGAAUUGAUGGUUAGCUAUGAGAAACAACUUGGUCAAUCACUAUCCGAACCAGUGGAGUCUCUAUUUGAUAAUGCCGGAAGAGACACCUGGGCUUCAAUAAGAAAGCUUCUUACACGUGAGACUGAGAUUGCCCUAUCAGAGUUUUCAGCUGCCAUUUCUAGUUUUGGGUUAGAUCGAUCGACAGUUGAGAAAAUGCUGCAAGAUUUGAAGGAUUAUGCGAGAAAUGUGGUAGAGAGGAAAGCAAGAGAAGAAGCUGGAAAAGUUCUGAUCCGCAUGAAGGAUAGGCAGGAAAACCUUAAUUUUCAUAUUCCUUAAGAUUGGCAGUAUUGAUGAGAAUAAUCUGUCAUAUUUAUGGCUUUCUUGCCUGUAUCAGGUUCUUAACUGUCUUCAGUCAUGACAAUGAUUCAAUGCCAAGAGUUUGGACUGGAAAGGAAGACAUUAAGACAAUUACUAAGGAUGCUCGUACUGCUGUAUUUUUCUGGAUUAUGUCAUGAGUGCUACUUUCAGUCUAUCAUCAUUUUGCAUGCUGCAUCAAGGAUCUGAGACUUUUUACUAUUGUUAUAUUUGCAGUCUUUGAGUUUGUUGUCUGUUAUGCCAUUCGAUUGGACGGGAAACCAGAAAUUGAAAACGUACUGUUUUCAUCCCUUGUGGAAUAAACUGUGAUUGCUGUAUCUUCAGUGGACAGAAGUAUUACUACUUCAGACCCUCUUGCCUCUAGUUCAUGGGAGGAGGUUUCUCCAAAAAGUAUCCUGAUCACACCAGUUCAAUGCAAGUCAUUGUAGAGACAGUUUAAAGCAGAGACUGAGUAUACAGUUAAGCUAUUUCAGCGCAGGAGGUUUACAAGCAAAGUAACAGCUGGUUACCUCCCCCAUGGGCAAUUGUGGCAAUGGUUGUCCUUGGAUUUAAUGAAUUUAUGCUCCUUUUAAGGUAACUUAAUCUAAUCUAGAGUCCAUGGUUCAUCUCAUCCCCUCCUAUUUUAGUUCUGUUUUUGAUGGGUUAAAGGGAUGAAGACCCUGGCUUUUAACAGGAGCUGGUAUUAGUAGUCUUCGGGGACUGCCGUGCUCAAAGGCAGUGGGUGAACCUACAGGGCAAGACCUCAGGUUCAGCUUGGAUAUAUCUGAAAUCUGAUUCCUAGCAUAAUUCAAAAUACUAGCAUGGGUUUUCCUGGUUUACUUUCUACUAUCAUGUUAAUUGUUGUGCUCAUAAUGCUUCUCGCAAACAGGAAUCCUCUCUAUCUAAUGGGUCUAUUUGUUGUGUAUUUACUUUCAAAAGCGAUGUGGGUUCAGAUGGACAUCCCAGGGCAGUUUCAACAUGGCACUCUGGCUGGGCUAAUCUCUAUCUCGUCGAGGUUUCUUCCCACCAUCAUGAAUCUUCUAAGGCGACUUGCAGAAGAGGCUCAAGGGCAUCAAACUGCUGAGCCCCCCAGGCAACAAUGUUCACUCGUUUUUCAGAGUUUGAAGAAUCAAAGUCAUCCAAAUCCAACCGACUCAAUUCCAGAGUCAUCUGUAGCAUCCAACAUUUCAACAUCUGAUGGUGGUAUCGAGUACUCAAGCCCUAACGUAACACACGAAAGUAGAAAAAUUCCAGAAGCAGAACUUUCUUGAAAAAAAGGUAAUCUCAGGUAAAAUUUAUAACAAAAUAGGGUAAGCUACUCCCUCGUCCACAAAUUUUUCUUUCAAAUGAAAAAAAAGGGAUGAGACAGAAAAGUAGUCCAGGAUGCAGGAUUUCACUCAGUCCUACAUAGAGGUGUGUGUAUGACCAAAUUUUACCCCGGCUCAAUAAAAUCGGAGUCCAAAUAUUAAAAUUCAACUAAAAUUCAAAAUAUCCUAAGCUCAAAUACAACCUAAAAUAAAAAAUAAAAAAAUAAAAAAUGAAGAAAAAGAAAAAAAUCUAACAUCUUCACCUUAUGUGCCGCCCUAAGCGCCGCCUUAGUCUUCUUUUGUCUACCACUUGUAAAAAGAAAAGAUAGUAAAUAAUAAAAAAAAAAUUGUAACAAGGCUAUAAAAGUCAUCAUAAAAUCAAAUGUAAAGGGGAAGGAGGGAUAAAAAAAAAGAAAAAAAACAUUGUAUUUUCACAGAGAGAUCAAAAAUCCAAAGCAAAAAAAAAAAGGUUGAUUUUAAUUUCUUGUAUUCCCUUUGUUCAUUUUUUAUUUUUGUUAUUUUAUUUUAUUUUCUUUAUUUCAUAUAUAUAUAUAUAUAUAUAUAUAUAUAUAUAAUUUAAUUGAAUUACUUAUUUGAAUUCCUUUGCAAACAUGUUUAUAUUUUUCCCUUUAAAUCUAUUUAUGUAUACCAUUUGUUCGCCAAUUUUAAAUUAUACUUUGUUUAUUUCAAA